UACAGAGGUGCCAAGCGUUAGGCGGAAUCACUGGGCUUAAAGCGCGUGUAGGUGGAUGGGUAAGUACCUUGUGAAAUCCCACGGCUCAACCGUGGAACUGCUUGGUAUACUGCUUGUCUUGAGGCACUCAGGGGCAGCUGGAACAAAUGGUGGAGCGGUGAAAUGCGUAGAUAUCAUUUGGAACGCCAAAGGUGAAAACAGGCUGCUGGGAGUGAUCUGACACUGAGACGCGAAAGCCAGGGGAGCAAACAGG
rnacentral:rRNA from 1 species